rnacentral:rRNA from 1 species
GACGAACGCUGGCGGCGUGCUUAACACAUGCAAGUCGAACGGAAAGGCCCUGCUUUUGUGGGGUGCUCGAGUGGCGAACGGGUGAGUAACACGUGAGUAACCUGCCCUUGACUUUGGGAUAACUUCAGGAAACUGGGGCUAAUACCGGAUAGGAGCUUCUGCUGCAUGGUGGGGGUUGGAGAGUUACGGCGGUUGGGGAUGGACGCGCGGCUUAUGAGCUUGUUGGUGAGGUAGUGGCUUACCAAGGCUUUGACGGGUAGCCGGCCUGAGAGGGUGACCGGCGACAAUGGGACUGAGAUACGGCCCAGACUCCUACGGGAGGCAGAAGGGGGGAAUAUUGCACAAUGGGCGGAAGCCUGAUGCAGCAGCGCCGCGUGCGGAAUGACGGCCUACGGGUUGUAAACCGAUUUCGCCUUUGCCGAAGCGUGAGUGACGGUAAUUAGUAAAAAAGCACCGGCUAACUACGUG